CCCUUAGAUGUCCUGGGCUGCACGCGCGCUACACUGAUGUGUCCAGUAAGCACCUAACCUAUUCCGAGAGGAGCGGGUAACCUUAGCAAAGCACAUCGUGAUGGGGAUAGAUUAUUGCAAUUAUUAGUCUUGAACGAGGAAUUCCUAGUAAGCACAAGCCAUCAGCUUGUGUUGAUUACGUCCCUGCCCUUUGUACACACCGCCCGUCGCUCCUACCGAUUGAAUGUUCCGGUGAACUCUUCGGACUGCGCGGUCUGCAGUUUCUGCGUUCCGUGCGGAAAGUUGUGCAAACCUUAACAUUUAGAGGAAGGAGAAGUCGUAACA
rnacentral:rRNA from 1 species